rnacentral:misc_RNA from 1 species
CUCUAAUCCAACUGCAACAAGAACUCUUCCACCGUUACAAUUAUUAUUGGGCAACUCUGCCUACAAAUACUUACGCAAAUGAGAGGAGAAUAUCCAACUUUUUUUUUUUAUCCCUAUUGGGAUUUGAACCCAUGUAGACCUCAAGAUAAAGAGGAAGGUAUCAAUAAAGUUAGGUUUGCGUAACUUGUCCACUAAGACUUGGGUAGAUGGG